AUAUACUCGCUUCGGUGUGUCGUUGUAUUAUGGACCAGCUGUCGCAUACAUCGGAUGAGACUGAGGAAUGCAGCUCGCCUUUAUGGCCGGGGUUCGCCCACGUUCGAGCUUAGGAUGUUGACAUAAUGGCUUUAAACGACCCGUCUUGAAACACGCACCAUGGUCCCCCUUCCCACCGCCCCCUUUUUCCCCCCUUUUUUUAAAAACAAAUUUCAAUAAUUCCACACAGCUUUUCUCUCUCUUUUUAUAAUUUUUUUCAUCUUUCCAUCACUAUACUUGUUCUCUAUCGCUCUCUCCCCAAUAUUUAUCUUUAAAUAGAAAUUACCACCCUCGUAUAUCUUUUUUCCCAAACAACUCUUCUCUUCCAAAGCACUUUUCUUCCAACUGCCUUCCUCGCAGGCGUUAUUCUCACCCUCGAUGACCACCUGCUCCUUUUACGGAGGCGAAAACCUGGCAAAUAAUCCUUUCUAUAUAUUACGUCUCAGACACCGGUUGAAAAUUAAUUUGAAUUAUGACUCUUUCCUUACUUUUGAUGUAUCAUUAUUUUUUUUUUUCUUUUCAGUUUUAAUUUUUAAAAUUUCAAAUAUUUCUCUCUCUUAUCCUAUUUUUAUAAUUUAGUCAGACUCUUUAUGCCUCCUAUCUUCUUAUUCUUAGUUUUA
rnacentral:rRNA from 1 species